CGCGAGCGCCAGAGGCCGGGCGCGGGCGCGGGCGCGGGGUGUGGGUAUGGGUACCGGUGUGGGAACGGGUGCGGGCGCGGGCUCGCGGGUGCGGCGGCGGCGGCGCUCGGGGCCGGCGGUCGAGGCACAGGCGGCGGGUCUGCUCUUUGUCUCCGCCGCUCCAAAAUGGCUGCGGCGAGCCAGGCGGAGGACACCGCCGGACGACGUGGGCUCCCGCCGAGCGCCGGGUCUCAACAAGCUGCCAGACUGGCCUUGAACUUGUGAUCUUCCUGCCUCAGACUCUGGAGUAGGUAGGAUUACAGAAGAAAAAAGAAAAGAAAAGGGUUAUUUUUGCUUGUUUUGGAGGUUUUAGCCCCUGACUGGUCGGCCCCGUGGCUUUGGGCCUAUGGUGAGGCACUGAUCGGGGCAGAAGCAUGUGGCCGAGCAGAACCACUUGCUUGUGGCCAGGAAGCAAAAGAGAAGAAGGGGCGGACCGGGGUUUCGCAGACCCCUCAGAGGGCACCCUGCCAACGCCUGAGGCCCUCUCGCUAGACCCACCUCCCAAAGACUGCACCACCUCCUGAAAGCACCAUGCCAGGGACCAAAUCCUAACACAUGGGCCUCUCAGGGACCUUUCAGAUCUAAACCAUAACCCUGGCUUUCAGGGGUGGGUUUUUUGUCUGUUUUUUGGUACCACGGAUUGAACUCUGACACUCGACCACUGAGCCACACCCCCAGCCCUAUUUUGUAUUUUAUUUAGAGACAGGGUCUCACUGAGUUGCUUAGCAUAUCGCUUUUUGCUGAGGCUGCCUUUGAGCUCACGAUCCUCCUGCCUCAGCCUCCUGAGUCACUGGGAUUACAGGAGUAAGCCACUGCACCCAGCUUAAAUUUUAUUUUUUUGACAUAGGUUCUUGCUUAGUCGAGGCUGGCCUGGGACUUGCAAUCCCCCUGCUUCAUCCUCCCGAGUCUCUGGAAUUACAGGCGUGCACCACCAUGCCCAGCAGCAAAAUGAAUUUUUAAAUCCCAGCUGUUUUGUUUUGUUUUGUUUUGUUCUUGAUUUUGUCCACGAGUUUGAGCUUCUAUUUCCAGGAUGGUAGACUCCUCCUGAACUCGCCCUCCUUCGGGUAGUGCCACAAGCCAGGCAGCACGCAAACCAGCAUUAGCUGUGGUCACAGGGAGUGAGCCCAGGCCCAGACUCUGGAGAGGAGCCAGCACUAGGAAGCAGGGCAGGGCCGGUGAGCCACCUGUGUCUGAGGUCAAGACCCAGGCCAGACCGUGAAGGGCAGGUAAAACUCCAGCAACAACCUGAAGAGCUGGAAGGCAGAGUGAGGCAGUGGCACCUCUGGAAGGCAAGGGGCAUCCCAGAGAAGGGGAGACCCAUAUCAGAUGAUAACUCUUGCCUCGGUCUUUAGUUGACCUCUGAACCACGGUCAGCCAGACCCCAAACAGCCUGGCCAAAGGACAGAGUGUGCUGGGCACAGUGGCGUAUUCCUGUAAUCCCAACAAUUUGGGAGGCUGAGGCAGGAGGAUCACAAGUUUGAGGCCAGCCUGGGCAACCUAGUGAGGUCCUGUCCCCAAAAAUAAAUCAAGUGGGGAUGCAGCCCAGUGGUAGAGCACCCCUAGGUUCAACCUCCAGUACAAAAACACAAAGUUCCCCAAGGAUAGAGUGUGGUCUGAGUCCCGUCAAGUCAAUUGCCAACUAACACAAAAAAUCAGCACUAUUUUAAAAGAAUGCAGACUUACCACAGACUAUCAUCAUGUCAAGGACACAAUCCAAAAUCAACCAAUAUUAAAAGAAAAUAAUGUGAUUUCAUUCUCAAAAAAAAGAAGGCUGGAGAUCGACCCUGACAGGACCCAGAUGAUGGAGUUAACAAGCCGGGAUGUCAAGGCAACCCCAUGACCGUGCCCACUGGUGUGCAGAACAUAGGCUUUCAACAGUGGAUAGAUGGAGACAGUCAUGGCAGAUCACAGGAACCACAGGUCUGAAUGGAGAUUCUGGAACUGAAAAUGAAAAUGUUUUCAGUGAAAGUUAACUGGACUAAGAGCAAAGCAGGGAUCACGCAGUGAACUUGACCGUGUCUCAGUAGAACUUAUCCAAUCUAAAGGAAGCGCCUGUGGGGCAAUGUCACAUGCCUGUGUGUGACACAGUUUACAAAGAGAGGAGAGAAGGAAUGGAGUGGGGAAAGGUAUCUGGCGGAAAAAAUGACUGGAACUUCCUACAUGUGGUGAGAAACAUGAACUUACAUAUGUAAGAAAUUCUGGGGCUGGGGAUAGAGCUCAGCUGGUAGAGGCUUGACUCACAUGCACAAGGCCCUGGGUUCCAUCCCCAGCACCACAAAAGAAAAAGAAAAAUUCUGUGAUCAACUCAAGGAGAACCAAGUGUAGGUACAUCAUAGUCAAAUUGCUGGAAAGCAAAUACGAAAUGAAAAAAAUUUUUAAAAAGAGCCCUAGAAAAACAACACAUGGCAUGCAGGGGUAGAGGCUAGAACUGGCUGACUUCUCAGAAACCAUGGAAACCACAUGCGAAGGCCCUGGGUUUGAUCCUCAGCACCACGUAAAAAUAAAUUAAUAAAGUAAAUAAAUAAAUAAAGAUAUUGUGUCCUACUGCAAUUAAAACACAAAUAUUUAAAAAAUCAGUAAAUGGGAUGGACUCAAACUAAAAAGCUUCUUCUCAGCAAAAGAAAUAAUCCAUGAGGUGAAUAGAGAGCCUGCUAAUUGGGAACAAAUUCUUACAACACGCACAUCAGAUACAGCACUAAUCUCUAGAUAUAAAGAACGCAAAAAUCUUAACACCAGAAAAACAACCCAAUCAGUAAAUGGGCCAAGGUACUGAACAGACACUUCUCAGAAAGUGAUAUACAACCAAUCAACAAAUACAUGAAAAAUGUUCAACAUCUCUAACAAUUAGAGAAAUGCAAAUCAAAACUACUCCAAGACUUCAUCUCACUGCAGUCAGAAUGGCAGCUAUUAAGAAUACAAACACCUGUAAGUGUUGGCGAGGAUGUGGGGGAAAGGCACACUCAGACAUUGCUGGUGGGACUGCAAACUGGUGCAGCCAAUAUGGAAAACAGCAUGGAGAUUCCUUGGAAAACUGGGAAUGGCACCACUAUUUGACCCAGCUAUCCCACUCCUUAGUCUAAACCCAAAGGACUUAAAAUCAGCAUACUACAGGGACACAGCCACAUCAAUGUUUAUAGCAGCACAAUUCACAAAAGCUAAACUGUGGAGCCAACCUAGAUGCCCUUCAGUGAAUGAAUGGAUAAAGAAAAAAUGUGGCAUAUAUACACAGUGGAAUGUUACUCAGCAGUAAGAGAGAAUAAAAUCAUGGCAUGUGCAGGUAAAUGGAUGGAGCUGGAGAAUAUAAUGCUAAGUGAAGUUAGCCAAUCCCAAAAAACAAAUGCCGAAUGGUUUCUCUGAUGUGAGAGGCUGACUCAUAAUAUGCUGCAGGGGGGGGUGAUUAAAUGAACUGUAGAUA